AUCUGGCCAUUCCUGAGUUAUACCUUUUGAGAGACAAGCUAGUAACCCAGCCUGCCAGUCAGUGGAUUCUCUGGGCUCUGGUCCUAGUCUUUAACCUAUAUUCAACUGGAUGGCAAGAAGUAGUUUGCUCAGAAGUCUCACUGAGUACAUCCUCCUCAUCUCCUAAAAGCUUGGGUGAAAUGUCUGUGCCUAGGCAAGUCCGGAGCAGGGUUGCUGGGAUGAGAUCGAAGCGUGACCCUGCUCGUACCUGUUGACCAACUCAUAGAGUCAGCACAGCAUCUGCUCUGUCCUCCUGAGACUCCGUUCACUUACCAGAAGAGACGCGCACGAAGAGCUUCAUUGAAUUACUGAAGAUGAGGGUUUAUGUUAGUGAAGUGACUUUUGGAAAGCCCCAAGGGAUGAAUGCUAUUCACUAGAGGAACCAACUGGCU